ensembl:snoRNA SNORD82 Small nucleolar RNA SNORD82
AGCACAAAUGAUGAAUGACAAAGGGACUUAAUACUGAAACAUGAUGUUACAUUGCAGUGUGCUGAUGUGC